UACGGGGGGAGCAAGCGUUGUUCGGAUUUGACUGGGCGUAAAGGGCGCGUAGGCGGCCACCGCAAGUCAGUUGUGAAAUCUCUGGGACUUAACCCAGAAAGGUACAACUGAUACUGCGGGGCUAGAGUGGCAGAAGGGGCACUGGAAGUUCUACGGUGUAGCGGUGAAAUGACGUAGAUAUCGAGAGGAACACCUGCGGCGAAGGCGGGUGCUGGGCUGACACUGACGUGAUGCGGCGAAAGCUAGGGGAGCGAACGGG
rnacentral:rRNA from 1 species